rnacentral:tRNA from 1 species
GGCCUCGUAGCUCAGUUGGCUAGAGCGUUGGCUGUACUAAAGCCUUCUCUUUGCUGGCGUGUGUUCAAAUCCCACCGAGGCUG